rnacentral:rRNA from 1 species
UACGUAGGGUGCGAGCGUUAAUCGGAAUUACUGGGCGUAAAGCGUGCGCAGGCGGUCUGUUAAGACCGAUGUGAAAUCGCCGGGCUUAACCUGGGAACUGCAUUGGUGACUGGCAGGCUUUGAGUGUGGCAGAGGGAGGUAGAAUUCCACGUGUAGCAGUGAAAUGCGUAGAGAUGUGGAGGAAUGCCGAUGGCGAAGGCAGCCUCCUGGGCCAACACUGACGCUCAUGCACGAAAGCGUGGGGAGCAAACAGG